rnacentral:lncRNA from 1 species
UAAAAAAUGGUAAAUCGUUUAUCAUUUUUAUAAAAAUAAUGAUAAUUCGUCAUCUCUGAAAAUUUUAUUUACAUAAAUUGUUAUGCCAUAGAAUAUAAGAGAGAAAUAGUAAAUUAUUCACUAUUUUAAAAAAAAUUAAAAUACGAUAAAUAAUUCACCGUCUUUCUAUUUUUUACAUUCAAUUGGCAUAAAAAUAUGAUUAUUUAGUCAGAUAAAUUUUUGAUAAAAUUGUUUGACCAAACAUAAAUUUUUUAAGAUCACUUUAAAAUAGGCCCAAAAAUUAACAAAAAAAAAUUAUAAAUUAACGAGUCCGGCCAUAGUGCUUUUAAAAGUAUUAAGCAUUCGGCACUUAUAAAAUUUUCAUUAUUAAAUCUAUUAUAUUAAUUAAUUUUAUUAUUUAGAUCAUACUAUUUUACCAAUCACCCAUUCAGUCGUAGAAGAUCAACUAUUAUCUUAACUAUCUAAAACUUCAUCCAACAUCUAAAAAUUUAUUAUAACUAUCUAAAUCUUCAUCCAACAUCUAAAAAUUUAUUAUAAGCACUAAUAACUUAGUGCUUUUAAAAAUAUUGAAGCACAAUUCUAAGUUAUUCUUUUUUUUUCUUUUUUUUUUUUGAGAAAUAAGUAACACGCUGCCCACUUCGUUUGUUUUAUUUAGAAAUAAACUUAGCUGAAAAUGUGAAUCAACUAGAAUUCGAACUAGAGACUUCGGGUAUCAACUACCAAAUUCUUUGUCACUUACUUAAGG